rnacentral:rRNA from 1 species
AACGUAGGUGGCGAGCAUUAUCCGGAUUUACUGGGCGUAAAGGGCUCGUAGGCGGCCAACUAAGUAGGACGUGAAAUCCCUCGGCUUAACCGGGGAACUGCGUCUGAUACUGGAUGGCUUGAGUUUGGGAGAGGGAUGCGGAAUUCCAGGUGUAGCGGUGAAAUGCGUAGAUAUCUGGAGGAACACCGGUGGCGAAGGCGGCAUCCUGGACCAACACUGACGCUGAGUGAGCGAAAGCCAGGGGAGCAAACGGG